UAGGGAAUCUUCGGCAAUGGACGGAAGUCUGACCGAGCAACGCCGCGUGAGUGAAGAAGGUUUUCGGAUCGUAAAGCUCUGUUGUAAGUCAAGAACGAGUGUGAGAGUGGAAAGUUCACACUGUGACGGUAGCUUACCAGAAAGGGACGGCUAACUACGUGCCAGCAGCCGCGGUAAUACGUAGGUCCCGAGCGUUGUCCGGAUUUAUUGGGCGUAAGGCGAGCGCAGGCGGUUUGAUAAGUCUGAAGUUAAAGGCUGUGGCUCAACCAUAGUUCGCUUUGGAAACUGUCAAACUUGAGUGCAGAAGGGGAGAGUGGAAUUCCAUGUGUAGCGGUGAAAUGCGUAGAUAUAUGGAGGAACACCGGUGGCGAAAGCGGCUCUCUGGUCUGUAACUGACGCUGAGGCUCGAAAGCGUGGGGAGCGAACAGGAUUAGAUACCCUGGUAGUCCACGCCGUAAACGAUGAGUGCUAGGUGUUGGAUCCUUUCCGGGAUUCAGUGCCGCAGCUAACGCAUUAAGCACUCCGCCUGGGGAGUACGACCGCAAGGUUG
rnacentral:rRNA from 1 species